UGUUUUACUUCUUUGUUCUUUUCUCUCUCUCUCUCUCUCUCUCUCUCUCUCCCUCUUUUUGUUUUUGUUUUAGUUUUUAUUUCCCUGCGCUCCUUUCUGCACGCCGAAGUUUGAAACAUCUCCCUCAGUAACUGGCAAAGCAAGGAGAUCAUAAAAUUCAGUAAGAACAUAGAAGACUGAACAUCACAGGUGCUGAUGCUAAACUCUGAAGUUUAUACAGCAACAGAGGAGAGAAAAGGAGGAAGAUGCCCUCUUCUUAGUUUCCAUCUCUAUCAGGUCUCCGGUGACCUCAUGCACCUCAGUUUGGAGGGUCUUUGCAGACCCAUGUGGAGGGAAUGGGGAGAGUCAGAGACUGGAUUACAUCCCCUUUCAAGGAUUUCCCAGUGCGCACUCAUACAGUAGCACUUGGACCCAGAGUCUGGCCUCUGUGUUCUCUGGUUCCGUGUGACAAGUGCCACUGCAGCUCAGGGCAACCCCAUAUCAUGGACAUGGCACAGAAGAAAAGGAUGCUGUGCUGGCCACUGCCCCCGGGUGGUUUUCUGCCUUCCCCCCACAAGCUGCAGAAGAAAGUUGGUGGGACUUGAACUUGAAGCCUGCAACUCCAGUGUGACCAGCUCCAAUGGAUCAGUCACAUUAGCAACUCUUUGGGUCAGAGAGAUACACAGAGCCCCACUCUACCAGGGAAGUCAACAGGGGCUCAGCAACUGACCCAGGUCGGCUGUGGGUCCAGGCCUUUCUAUCAAUCCCAGUCCUUUUCCACUGCAGGAGACUGCCCCACUCUUAUUCUUAGAAGAGACCUUGCAAAGUAUUUAGGGUAAAAUGCCUAUCAUUGAAAUAUUUAUUUUAAAAAAUAUAUAGAAAAUAUAUAGAGAGAUAAAGAGAGAGAGAGAGAGUCCCUGUGCAACAGAGUGAGGCUACUUUGCGGGUGAUGAGGUGCUGCAGUUGCAGUCGAGAGGGUAAGGCCUGACCUAUGGUGCAAUAACAAGAAAGGUGAGAAAGGGGUUGAAUGCAGGGCAUGAAGGAGGAGGAGUGGGCACUGGCUUGAGUGAGUGGAAGAUGGUGAGGCCAUUUAUUUUGAAUGGAAACACAGGAAAAGAAGGAGGUGUGGCCAUUCUCUUUGUCUUGAGCCUUCGCCCUCUGUGAUGUGGGAUCCCCAGGCAGAGUUUAGGCGAAAGCUCUAGUUUUCCAACAACAAUUCCAGGGGUAUCAGACCAUCAGAGGGAAGAUGUUGGAUGGGUAGCCUAAAAGCAUAAAAAGCAAAGAUGGGACAAGGGGAUGGCCUGAAGACCAACAUUCAGAAAUAAGGCUGGCAAAAGGCCAACAGAGGUGACUGAGAUGGGAUGGUCCAGGAGGUUGGAGGGGAGUUGGGAGAAGGUGCCUUGGAAAGCAAGAAGCGAGGGCUGCCCAGUGAGUGUUGAAUGCAGUGGAGAAGUCAAGUAGCACAGGGUUGAAAUGUGUCCCCUGACCACUGAAGUGGUUCCCCGUGGGGAUUUCUUUUCUUGGUAAGAACAGGUUCACUGGGGUGGGGAGAUGGAAGUAAGACUUCAGUGAGCUAGAGAGCACGUGGAAGGAGAUUAGGGAUGAUGAGGAAGUCCACAACCCUCACAAGAAGCUGCCUGCGAAACAGGAGUGAAGGGAAUUUGCCAGAGACUAGAGGGGUUAAUGGGGGAGCAGGGGGUCCUGUCACACCUCUGCUGAAAAACACAUUAACCCCGGAGAUCCUGAACCUGCUAGUGGAACAGGACUCAGGAUGGCCCAGACCUCCUCAGAAAAAAAGGGGAAGAGCCAGAACAGGACGGUGUUGGAACCGGUGCGUGUGGGGAGGCACAGUCAGAUGGGGCUGCCUCAGGUCUCAGAUCUGAUCGACUGUCCUGGUGUCUGAGUGUCCCCCAGUGGGGUUACAGCUCCUCAGGUCUCUGAGUAUCCAGGCAUAUUUUCCUACAGCUCCCUGGUCAUUUCCAUGCUGUUGGUUUAACUUCGCCACUUAGAGGAAUAUAGAGUUUGGCAAGAAAGUCUCUUGGUUUCCUCUGUAAGAACUGCAGUGGUAGAUUGGAAAUCUGCCCUGUAUGUCCCACAAGACAGCAGAAAAGUAGCCGACAUUGUGGGGCUGUGGCGUAAAUCUGCAGAGCAGCCAUCCUGGGCCAAGUGUGCAGGGUACAGUGCACAGGUGCUGGCUUAGGGUGGAGUUCUGGGGCCCAGGGCAGUCCUCAGAGUCCAAACCCUCCUGGGGGCACUGCUACGUCUCUAAGCUGCAUGGACAUGGUCAGGAUGCAUGGGCACAUUCAACAAGGCAAAGAGAGCCCUGGGGUGAAGCUUUGACAACCUGAGAAAGUUCUUGGCGAGAAAGCCUAGGUUAAGGACUCUGUACCUCAGGAGAAUAUUCUGGAAUCCCAGCUGCUGGGAUCUAGGGUAAAGAAAUAGAGCUUGCAGCCAAUAGCUGCCAGGGAAGACCACAAGGUGGAAGGGGAAAGGACUGUCACCUGCACAGUCAGCCCGGGCAUCUGCUGUCCGGCUGAGUGCUGGGCCCCACUCCUCAGCCAUGGGGAUCCAGGCCCUCAAUGGGGCCUUCCCACCUUCCUCUCAGAAAUGCCUUGCAGGAGGCCAAGGAGCCAUUUUCAAAAAGGCAAGAAGUACCAGGUAGCCUGGAGCAACCUGCUGGGUUUCUGAGGGCAAGAAGCUCCUUCCGCUACCAUAGCAAAGCCAUUUGGUUUAAAAUCCUCGUAAAAGCAACAAUGCUCAUUUCCUAUAUUGGGCUGUAUUUCCUAAUUACCAUCCCAGAGGGAAACCUAGGGAGAAGGAAGGCAGAGAAGCCAGCCUCACAGCCUUCAUUUGUACAUUUAAAUAAAGUGUGAUUAAAAAG